UACGAAGGGUGCAAGCGUUGUUCGGAAUUACUGGGCGUAAAGCGCGCGUAGGCGGGUCGGUAAGUCGAUUGUGAAAGCCUGGCUUAACCUGGGAAUUGCAGUCGAAACUACCGAUCUUGAAUGUCUGAGAGGAUGGCGGAAUUCCCGGUGUAGUAGUGAAAUACGUAGAUAUCGGGAAGAACACCUGAGGCGAAGGCGGCUAUCUGGCGGUACAUUGACGCUGAGGCGCGAAAGCGUGGGGAGCAAACAGG
rnacentral:rRNA from 1 species